rnacentral:snRNA from 1 species
CUCAUUUGCGGAUAAAUCUUUCGCCUUUUACUAAAGAUUUCCGUGGG